GGGGCGCUGGCGCAACGGUAGCGCGGUAUGUCUCCAACACAGUGAAGGUUAUCCGUUCGAAUCGGGUGUGCCUCA